GUGGGGAAUAUUGGGCAAUGGGGGCAACCCUGACCCAGCAACGCCGCGUGAGGGAAGAAGGUUUUCGGAUUGUAAACCUCUGUCCUAUGGGAAGAAGGAAGUGACGGUACCAUAGGAGGAAGCCCCGGCUAACUACGUGCCAGCAGCCGCGGUAAUACGUAGGGGGCGAGCGUUGUCCGGAAUUACUGGGCGUAAAGGGUGCGCAGGUGGCCUGACAAGUCAGAUGUGAAAUACCGAUGCUUAACGUCGGGGCUGCAUUUGAAGCUAUGAGGCUGGAGUGCAGGAGAGGGAAGCGGAAUUCCUAGUGUAGCGGUGAAAUGCAUAGAUAUUAGGAGGAACACCAGUGGCGAAGGCGGCUUUCUGGACUGUAACUGACACUGAGGCACGAAAGCGUGGGGAGCAAACAGGAUUAGAUACCCUUGUAGUCC
rnacentral:rRNA from 1 species